GACGAACGCUGGCGGCGUGCUUAACACAUGCAAGUCGAACGGUAAGGCCCUUCGGGGUACACGAGUGGCGAACGGGUGAGUAACACGUGGGUGAUCUGCCCUGCACUUCGGGAUAAGCCUGGGAAACUGGGUCUAAUACCGGAUAGGACCACUGCCUGCAUGGGUGGUGGUGGAAAGCUUUUGCGGUUUGGGAUGGGCCCGCGGCCUAUCAGCUUGUUGGUGGGGUGAUGGCCUACCAAGGCGACGACGGGUAGCCGGCCUGAGAGGGUGACCGGCCACACUGGGACUGAGAUACGGCGCAGACUCCUGCGGGAGGCAGCAGUGGGGAAUAGUGCACAAUGGGCGCAAGCCUGAUGCAGCGACGCCGCGUGAGGGAUGACGGCCUUCGGGUUGUAAACCUCUUUCAGCACCGACGAAGCGCAAGUGACGGUAGGUGCAGAAGAAGGACCGGCCAACUACGUGCCAGCAGCCGCAGUAA
rnacentral:rRNA from 1 species